GUUUGACCUCGGAUCAGGUAGGGUUACCCGCUGAACU
rnacentral:rRNA from 2 species